UGGGGAAUCUUGCGCAAUGGGCGAAAGCCUGACGCAGCGACGCCGCGUGGGUGAUGAAGGCCUUCGGGUCGUAAAGCCCUGUCAAGAGGGACGAAACCUCGUCGACCUAAUACGUCGACGACCUGACGGUACCUCUGAAGGAAGCACCGGCUAACUCCGUGCCAGCAGCCGCGGUAAUACGGAGGGUGCGAGCGUUGUUCGGAAUCACUGGGCGUAAAGCGCGUGUAGGCGGCCUCCUCAGUCUGGUGUGAAAGCCCGGGGCUCACCCCCGGAAGUGCAUUGGAUACUGGGAGGCUGGAGUACCGGAGAGGAGGGUGGAAUUCCUGGUGUAGCGGUGAAAUGCGUAGAUAUCAGGAGGAACACCGGUGGCGAAGGCGGCCCUCUGGACGGAUACUGACGC
rnacentral:rRNA from 1 species